UCAGGAUGAACGCUGGCGGCGUGCCUAAUACAUGCAAGUCGAGCGAACGGACGAGAAGCUUGCUUCUCUGAUGUUAGCGGCGGACGGGUGAGUAACACGUGGAUAACCUACCUAUAAGACUGGGAUAACUUCGGGAAACCGGAGCUAAUACCGGAUAAUAUUUUGAACCGCAUGGUUCAAAAGUGAAAGACGGUCUUGCUGUCACUUAUAGAUGGAUCCGCGCUGCAUUAGCUAGUUGGUAAGGUAACGGCUUACCAAGGCAACGAUGCAUAGCCGACCUGAGAGGGUGAUCGGCCACACUGGAACUGAGACACGGUCCAGACUCCUACGGGAGGCAGCAGUAGGGAAUCUUCCGCAAUGGGCGAAAGCCUGACGGAGCAACGCCGCGUGAGUGAUGAAGGUCUUCGGAUCGUAAAACUCUGUUAUUAGGGAAGAACAUAUGUGUAAGUAACUGUGCACAUCUUGACGGUACCUAAUCAGAAAGCCACGGCUAACUACGUGCCAGCAGCCGCGGUAAUACGUAGGUGGCAAGCGUUAUCCGGAAUUAUUGGGCGUAAAGCGCGCGUAGGCGGUUUUUUAAGUCUGAUGUGAAAGCCCACGGCUCAACCGUGGAGGGUCAUUGGAAACUGGAAAACUUGAGUGCAGAAGAGGAAAGUGGAAUUCCAUGUGUAGCGGUGAAAUGCGCAGAGAUAUGGAGGAACACCAGUGGCGAAGGCGACUUUCUGGUCUGUAACUGACGCUGAUGUGCGAAAGCGUGGGGAUCAAACAGGAUUAGAUACCCUGGUAGUCCACGCCGUAAACGAUGAGUGCUAAGUGUUAGGGGGUUUCCGCCCCUUAGUGCUGCAGCUAACGCAUUAAGCACUCCGCCUGGGGAGUACGACCGCAAGGUUGAAACUCAAAGGAAUUGACGGGGACCCGCACAAGCGGUGGAGCAUGUGGUUUAAUUCGAAGCAACGCGAAGAACCUUACCAAAUCUUGACAUCCUUUGACAACUCUAGAGAUAGAGCCUUCCCCUUCGGGGGACAAAGUGACAGGUGGUGCAUGGUUGUCGUCAGCUCGUGUCGUGAGAUGUUGGGUUAAGUCCCGCAACGAGCGCAACCCUUAAGCUUAGUUGCCAUCAUUAAGUUGGGCACUCUAAGUUGACUGCCGGUGACAAACCGGAGGAAGGUGGGGAUGACGUCAAAUCAUCAUGCCCCUUAUGAUUUGGGCUACACACGUGCUACAAUGGACAAUACAAAGGGCAGCGAAACCGCGAGGUCAAGCAAAUCCCAUAAAGUUGUUCUCAGUUCGGAUUGUAGUCUGCAACUCGACUACAUGAAGCUGGAAUCGCUAGUAAUCGUAGAUCAGCAUGCUACGGUGAAUACGUUCCCGGGUCUUGUACACACCGCCCGUCACACCACGAGAGUUUGUAACACCCGAAGCCGGUGGAGUAACCUUUUAGGAGCUAGCCGUCGAAGGUGGGACAAAUGAUUGGGGUGAAGCU
rnacentral:rRNA from 1 species